rnacentral:lncRNA from 1 species
UGCAGUUGUUAGAUGUUUAGGUCCUUACUAUUCGAUUGCAAGCGAUCAACCCUUAAUUAAUCUCCACGGUUGCAUGGCAGAAUGAGAUAAUGUAAAUUUGCAGAAUGAGAUAAUGAGUUGUAGAAACCUUGUCAACAAACUUUGGCAGAAUGCCAUGGCUCUUUUAGGAUUCAGGCAGGCCAUCUCAGUUUUUUUUUGGCGAUCUUAAUUAACUGUUUGCAGUUAUUAAAAGCCAUGGUUGAAGAUUGAUUGUUGAAUUUAUGAUGAAAAUGAUGGGGAAUUUGUGUUCUUUUUUCUUUAGAGAAAAGAUGAUGUACAUUGAUUUCUACAAAACAACUUGAAAUGGUAAGUUCAGCUUUGGUUACACUACCAAUUAAUCUUAUUUCAGUAAGUGGAGUUGCUUGCAUGUAAAGAUGGUAAAAAAAACUCAUUCACAGGUAAAACCCUUCAUGGACACUAAUUGUUUCCUUACUAGUAUAUAUAUAGAUGUGAUGGUACAUGUACCUGCCAGAAUUUGUAUCCAUUAAUCAUUAGAAAAAUGACUUAAAUAUCUUUU